rnacentral:rRNA from 1 species
GACGAACCGUGCAAACGUUAUUCGGAAUCACUGGGCAUAAAGGGCGCGUAGGCGGCUCCAAAAGUCAGGGGUGAAAUCCGGCAGCUUAACUGUCGCAGUGCCUUUGAUACUGUGGAGCUAGAGGGAGGUAGGGGUCUGUGGAACUUCCGGUGGAGCGGUGAAAUGCGUUGAUAUCGGAAGGAACGCCGGUGGCGAAAGCGACGGACUGGAUCUCUUCUGACGCUGAGUGAGCGAAAGCCAGGGGAGCAAACGGG